rnacentral:lncRNA from 1 species
GUGAAAGGAGGCCUUUGCAAAAUAGAAAAAGUACUUUCAUUCCAGAGAGAGCCCUAGGAAUUAAAAAAAAGAGGAAUCUGCAAAGAAAAGCAGUAGGGGAGAGAGCUAAUACCACUAGUUUCAUUCUCAUAAGGGAAAGAGAGACAUUUUAGAAAAGAUCUAUUGUGUGAACUUGAAAACAAGAUGUAGGGUCAGAAAUGCUGUGGUGGCAGGUCCGUGGAGGAAGUAGCCAUCAAAUAAUAGCCUUGAUUGCAAGCCAGUGUUAAUUAGGCUUGUGGGGCCCUCAAUGAGCAAAGAAGAUUGAGCUCUAACCAUCAGUUCCCCACAUGAAGGUUUAUUGUAAUAUGAAAAAGUUAUUUAAAUUUCACUUCACGUUGUCCUUUUGAAUCCUCGCAUUAAUAAAAUCGUUUUCAGUGGAAAUAGCAGCAGCAAGAAAUAGAAAAUACUAACAGCAAGAUUUUUUUUUUAAUGCCCAUAAGAAGCAGCUUGGAAAUUGACACUCGGUUGCCAGGCACGUUUUACAGCUUUGCUCUUUACCAUGGAACAGAGAUAAUUUUCCUUAUGGAGAAUUUACAAGUUUCCAGAUGCAUUAUGCUGAAGAUAGCCAGGAUCCAGUACAAGGUUGGUGUCCCACUACAAAGCAAGGGCCUGCCACAACCAGAUGCAUGUUUCAACGACAUCGAAAGACUCACCUUGGACUCAUUGCUGACUUGUCAACCAGAACUCCAAUAUCUGAGUUUGUCAAGGUGCUACUCUUUGACUCAGUUGACCUUCCUUCUCCCUUCCUUCUCCCUUCCUUUUCCUUCUACUCUGGUCACUGCCUUCAAUUCCUUCCCCUCUCUAUGUUUGUCUUGUAGAUCUCAAAGGACGUGGAGUGUAUUUGUAUUAUCAUAUAAAGCACGUGAAAUUAUGGUUUUCUCUGUGAAUUUUUCUAAAAGCAUACUUUGAAUUCUAUUGUUGGUAUUUCCAGUGAGAAGCAUAGAGCACAUGGUAG